rnacentral:rRNA from 1 species
AACGAACGCUGGCGGCAUGCCUAACACAUGCAAGUCGAACGAGACCUUCGGGUCUAGUGGCGCACGGGUGCGUAACGCGUGGGAACCUGCCCUUAGGUUCGGAAUAACUCCCCGAAAGGGGUGCUAAUACCGGAUAAUGUCUUCGGACCAAAGAUUUAUCGCCUUUGGAUGGGCCCGCGUUGGAUUAGAUGGUUGGUAGGGGAAAAGCCUACCAAGGCGAGGAUAGAUAGCUGGUCAGAGAGGAAGGUCCGCCACACUGGGAGGGGGCAACGGCCGGGACUCUUGGGGGGGGGGGGAGGGGGGAAUAUUGAAAAGGGGGGGAAGGCCAGAACCCCCAAUGCCGGGAGAGUAAUGAGGCCCUGAGGGUUAUAAGUCUCUUUAACACGGUAGGAGAAUGACGUUACCGGAAGAAUAAGCUCCGGCUAACUCCGUG